GUAAUUCCAGCUCCAAUAGCGUAUAUUAAAGUUGUUGCCGUUAAAAAGCUCGUAGUUGGCACUCAGUUCCGGACUGACGGUGCACCGCCCGGUGUUAAUCCGUCAGGCUCCGAACAGCGGGGACGCAAGGCUCCGCCCUGCCGGCUCGCACGGGGUGCUCUUCACCGAGUGUCCCGCGUGGCCGGCGAGUUUACUUUGAAAAAAUUAGAGUGCUCAAAGCAGGCUACUUGAAUGGCCUGAAUGGUGAUGCAUGGAAUAAUGGAAUAGGACCUCGGUUCUAUUUUAUUGGUUUUCGGAUCCAGAGGUAAUGACGAAUAGAAACAGGCGGGGGCAUUCGUACUGCGACGCUAGAGGUGAAAUUCUUGGACCGUCGCAAGACGAACUACUGCGAAAGCAUUUGCCAAGGAUGUUUUCAUUAAUCAAGAACGAAAGUUAGAGGUUCGAAGGCGAUCAGAUACCGCCCUAGUUCUAACCAUAAACGAUGCUGACUAGCGAUCCGCCGGUGUUAUUCCCAUGACCCGGCGGGCAGCUUCCGGGAAACCAAAGUCUUUGGGUUCCGGGGGAAGUAUGGUUGCAAAGCUGAAACUUAAAGGAAUUGACGGAAGGGCACCACCAGGAGUGGAGCCUGCGGCUUAAUUUGACUCAACACGGGGAACCUCACCAGGCCCAGACACUGGAAGGAUUGACAGAUUGAGAGC
rnacentral:rRNA from 1 species